rnacentral:rRNA from 1 species
AGUGAACGCUGGCGGUAGGCCUAACACAUGCAAGUCGAACGGCAGCACAGUAAGAGCUUGCUCUUACGGGUGGCGAGUGGCGGACGGGUGAGGAAUACAUCGGAAUCUACUUUUUCGUGGGGGAUAACGUAGGGAAACUUACGCUAAUACCGCAUACGACCUACGGGUAAAAGCAGGGGAUCUUCGGACCUUGCGCGAUUGAAAGAGCCGAUGUCGGAUUAGCUAGUUGGCGGGGUAAAGGCCCACCAAGGCGACGAUCCGUAGCUGGUCUGAGAGGAUGAUCAGCCACACUGGAACUGAGGCACGGUCCAGACUCCUACGGGAGGCAGCAGUGGGGAAUAUUGGACAAUGGGCGCAAGCCUGAUCCAGCCAUACCGCGUGGGUGAAGAAGGCCUUCGGGUUGUAAAGCCCUUUUGUUGGGAAAGAAAAGCAGCAGGUUAAUACCCCGCUGUUCUGACGGUACCCAAAGAAUAAGCACCGGCUAACUUCGUG